AAGUGGAGCAAUCCAUGAGUAAAGUGGCGACCGGGUGAGUAACACGUGACUAACCUACCCUCGAGUGUGGAAUAACAUCGGGAAACCGAUGCUAAUACCGCAUAACAUCGCAAGAUCAAAGGAGCAAUCCGCUUGAGGAGGGGGUCGCGGCUGAUUAGCUAGUUGGCGGGGUAACGGCCCACCAAGGCGAAGAUCGGUAGCCGGCCUGAGAGGGCGCACGGCCACACUGGAACUGAAACACGGUCCAGACUCCUACGGGAGGCAGCAGUGGGGAAUUUUGCACAAUGCCCGAAAGGGUGAUGCAGCAACGCCGCGUGAGGGAUGAAGGCCUUCGGG
rnacentral:rRNA from 1 species